rnacentral:sRNA from 1 species
GUGAGGUGGAGACAGGGUAGGUUGGGACACAAAGUCCAGUUAAGUGUGUGUCCCAGCUCAGUGCUCUGAGCCCAGAUCCUCAUCUCCCUGGGUAGUGAGGCUCAGCACAGACAAGCAACCAACUGCUGGGCUGCCGGUGCCCCCCAUGUUGGAACCUGAGUUGGAGAUUAUCUCCUAAGCAGAUACCUGCUUCCAAACUGGGGAUGUAGGGCUUGGAAACUAGAAAAUGCCAGGUCUGAGGGAGAGGAAAGAACAAGUCCAGCAAUACACAGAGCUCUGUGUAUUCAGAGGGAAGUUGGCAGGGUUGUGUUCGGGCAGAGAAACUCCGAGUGGUACAAAGGGGACGUGCCCAGAGUGGAGAAAUCAUGCUAAUUGUCUGCACUAGAGCUGGAGAACGCCACCCAAAAUGAAGAGAGAAAGGGGAGCCCUGUCCAGAGCCUCCAGGGCCCUGCGCCUCGCUCCUUUUGUCUACCUUCUUCUGAUCCAGACAGACCCCCUGGAGGGGGUGAACAUCACCAGCCCCGUGCGCCUGAUCCAUGGCACCGUGGGGAAGUCGGCUCUGCUUUCUGUGCAGUACAGCAGUACCAGCAGCGACAGGCCUGUAGUGAAGUGGCAGCUGAAGCGGGACAAGCCAGUGACCGUGGUGCAGUCCAUUGGCACGGAGGUCAUCGGCACCCUGCGGCCUGACUAUCGAGACCGUAUCCGACUCUUUGAAAAUGGCUCCCUGCUUCUCAGCGACCUGCAGCUGGCCGAUGAGGGCACCUAUGAGGUCGAGAUCUCCAUCACCGACGACACCUUCACUGGGGAGAAGACCAUCAACCUUACUGUAGAUGGUAAAGCGCUCUGGCAGGGAAAGAGGCAAGACUGGCAGGUGGGACUGGGGAAGGGUCUGCCCAGCGCACCAGCUAGACCAAGGGAAAACCAACCCAAAAGGCACUUGGGAGCU